rnacentral:lncRNA from 1 species
CGCUUCUAGUAGGCCAAACUCCCAGGUGACCCCCGCAAGAAACGCGGUCCGGAGAGGGUCUGGCCCCACUGCUGGGGCAAGGGCUCUAGGCGCCCGGACCCCACGCCCGCAGCCUGCGGAGAACGUGCCGACAAGGACCUGUAGGGCCCCACUCCCCCUCCUCCCUCCCUCGGCGCAGCCCGGCCCAGGGGUCUGUCCUCCCAGGCCCAGGAAAGGAGGAAACCCACUUCCGCCGCGUCCAUGAUCUCCCGCGGCUUCUCCUGACUCUUGCGGCUGGCGCUGGCGCUGGGCAUCGGGACACGGAACUGGGCAGUGGACACCACCCUCCCUCGCAGGCUUCCAAAGUAAUUUGAAGGCCUUCCCUGACUUAAAGUGGAUGCUGCUUUGGAAAGCACUGGAAAAAUGGAUCCUGUCUUUCUUAGCCAAGGACUGGUCUCUUUUCUCCAAUGUGUCCCUAACAGAGUGGUGAGGCUGGCUCUUCCCACCAGUACAGGAAGAUCAUUCCUUAAAAGAAAUAGCCAUAUGGCUUAUAAGGGACUAUAUCUUAAGACUAUGUGUCUUCUGCAGUUCUUUGCAUAGAGUCAACGUUGAAGGACAAGCAACUUCAAAUUUCCAAGCAACAAAAUUAUGUUCGGGUGGUUUUCUGAAAGCGAGAUCUUAAGAACCACCUGUAUCAGAAUCCCAUGAAGAGCUUGUUUAGUGUGCAAAUUUACAGAUUGUCCCCCCUCAGAAAUGCUCAUUUAGGAGUUCCUGUCCUUUGCGGGGACAUGGAUGAAGCUGGAAACCAUCAUUCUCAGCAAACUAACACAGGAACAGAAAACCAAACACUGCAUGUUCUCACUCAAAAGUGGGAGUUGAACAAUGAGAACACAUGGACACAGGGAGGGGAACGUCACACACCAGGGCCUGUCGGGGGUGGGAGGUGCUAAAAGGAUAAUACCAAGGAAAACUAUGGGUGGGGGCAGUGAAUGGCCAGCAUGCCUAUAAUCCCAGCACUUGAAGCCAGGAGUUCGAGACCAGCCUGGGAAACAAAGCAAGACCCUGUGUCUAAAAAAAUUUUUUUAAAAAUAAGCUGGGCAUGGUGGCACGUGCCUAUAGUCCCAGCUACUCAGCUACUCGGGAGACCAAGACAUGGAAUAAACUUGACAAGUGCUAAAGAUGCUCUUUGAUUUUUGUGUGGCAUGAGACCUCAGGCUGAAACUUCUCAUCUGAGCCAUUGAAGGGAGCCUCUCAUCUCUCCACCGAGAGGGGAGACCAGAAUGGCUCCUUCAGGCACAUUCUGUUGGGCUUCCCUCUACCUCCCCACUCUGCUGCUUCCCCGCUCUUUUUGAAUUUCUCCCUGUUGAGGAGAGGGAAGACCAGCUAGGAGAGGAUCUGGAUUGAGAAACUUGCCAUGCUUUUCUCUCAGAUGUUCUCUUUUCUCUGAAGACAGCAGGACCUCAUCCAAAGCUCUGUUUCUGGCAGGAAUCUGACACCACUUACUCCUUGGGUAGAAACUCCCCCAAGUCUGAACUAUGUGAUUGCCUGAGCCCUGCUUCUUGUUCAUUAAGACUGCUCCUCUGAAACGGAAUUGAUGAAUUUUUAGUGGCUAUUAGAAGCAUUUGGGAUCCAUAGGCAUCAGGGUUUGAUGCAUGGCCCUCAUCUCUGUGGGCUCCUGUGCAAUGAUUCUCAUCUGUCUUAGUUAGAAAGUGAAUUAAUCUUGACCUUGGCCUCAGGGGUGUGGUUCUCUGCCCUCUUACACAUCUUCAAUUCGCUUCUUUAUCAGAAGCACUUGUUUUAGGCCCAGGCUCCCCCAAUUUUAAUGACAUUUAGACAUUUGUCUUUAAGUUACAUUGCUUUGAUUUUAAUCAAAAUCUAUAUUUCUAGUAUUAUAUGUUUCCAGAAAGUUCUCAUUCUGGAUUGUAAUUUAAUUACAUGGAUCAUUAAAGCUUUGAAGGAUGCUAAUGGGCAGAAAAAAGAGACUUAACAAAACGAAAGUUAUUAUUAGGAAUUACAAAUCACUUAACAUUUCAACAUCACUCGUCGGAUGUGGGCAUUUUGUUGAAAGAGACCUUGUUUUGAACAGUGACAGUGCAGAAGACCUAUGGAAGAAACAAGCUUCCAACUUGAUUUCUAUUGUUAUGCAUGCAUAGCAAAUUAUUAAUUCUAUUCUAAUAGGGUAAUAGAUUUAGAAAUACUAUUAGCAGAAAACUUGAUGUAUUAGGCAAUACUACAUACCACAUUAGUCUAACCGCUCAACUGUAAUUUUUCAUCCAUACUUUCUUGGGAUGUAAAUAAAAUUGAUAUUAUACAAUGAAAAUAAAA